CAGAAAAAGAGAAAAGCUUCAAGUGCGCUUCCGUUAACUACCACACGUCAUCUGACACGUCGCUAUCUCUCGCGAUGCUUUGAUGUUACCCCUCGCUGAAACAGGGGAAAGGAGGCCGCCGCUGCUCUGCCAGAGAGAGAGAAACAGCCGAGGGAGCUGGUGCAUGCAUUGCCAACUUGUUUCUUCGUGUUCCUUCGACCUUUGUGCGGUUUUUUUUUUUUCGCGUCGGGAAGGAGCCUGCAGCUUGGUGCGCCAUUUUGUGUUAUUUUUUGCGUGGUGAACUGGAAAGACCGAGGGCCCGUGUAACGCGCGUUCUGUUGGAAGCUCCAGCCUAAACUCAGGUGCAAGGCCUGGUCUGAAGGGUCAACAGACACCUUCUGGCGUAGAAAGGUAAACUUCAAGCAUCUUUGGUCAUGGAUGCCACUGCAACUUUCACACUGCCGAGCGAACAUGCAGGUGAAGAGAGCCUGGAGAGAACGUCAACAACACCUCAUCUUGCUGUCAUCGUCUCUUCCAGCUGAUGGAAAAAAAUGGUUCAGGUGAACGGCGGUUGUAUCAGUCGUCGUUGAUUGUUCAUGGGUAUCACUGCAACAAGCACUGCAAAAUGUGGGGAUAACGUUAUGCACUGAUCUCACCGCACGGAAAGGAUGUCUGCGACAUACUACUUGAAAACUGUGAACACUGGGGCUUCAAGCACGUUUCCGAAUCUCAACGCACUAACAUAAUUACUCUCUUCCCAGCAAUUAACAUAACGAUACAAGCGUCACAUCUUGGUGGUAAAACGUCGCACACCAAACACGUAUUGAUGGACAAGAGCACGAAAAUUGACCAAAAGACAGAACUGAUCUAGCAGAAAUAACACUCCAUCGAUUAUAUAGUUGAGUUGUACAAGGCCUGCUGCAAAUCGUUCCAUGCGAACAAUGUUGCAUGAAAACCUAGUGCAUUUAUACAGCUGCGGAAUAAACAUAUAAAGUGGAAAAACUUA